rnacentral:rRNA from 1 species
AGUGAACGCUGGCGGCGUGCUUAACACAUGCAAGUCGAACGAGAACGGAUUAUAGCUUGCUAUAGUUGUCAGCUAAGUGGCGCACGGGUGAGUAAUGUGUAGGUAAUAUGCCUCUUACUAAGGGAUAACAAAUGGAAACGUUUGCUAAUACCUUAUACUCCUUAUUAACAGAAGUUAAUAAGGGAAAGAUUUAUUGGUAAGAGAUUAGCCUGUAUUGUAUCAGUUAGUUGGUGGGGUAAUGGCUUACCAAGACUAUGACACAUAACUGGUUUGAGAGGAUGAUCAGUCACACUGGAACUGAGACACGGUCCAAACUCCUACGGGAGGCAGCAGUGGGGAAUAUUGCACAAUGGACGAAAGUCUGAUGCAGCAACGCCGCGUGGAGGAUGACACAUUUCGGUGCGUAAACUCCUUUUAUAUGAGAAGAUAAUGACGGUAUUAUAUGAAUAAGCACCGGCUAACUCCGUGCCAGCAGCCGCCGUAA